rnacentral:rRNA from 1 species
UGGGGAAUAUUGCACAAUGGAGGGAACUCUGAUGCAGCGACGCCGCGUGAGUGAUGAAGGAAUUCGUUUCGUAAAACUCUGUUCUAUGGGAAGAAAAGGACUGUACCAUAGGAGAAAGCUCCGGCUAAAUACGUGCCAGCAGCCGCGGUAAUACGUAUGGAGCGAGCGUUGUCCGGAAUUAUUGGGCGUAAAGGGUGCGCAGGCGGCUUUACAAGUUGGAUGUGAAAUAUUGUGGCUCAACCACAAACGUGCAUCCAAAACUGCAAAGCUUGAGUUAGGGAGAGGUAAGUGGAAUUCCUAGUGUAGCGGUGGAAUGCGUAGAUAUCAGGAGGAAUACCGGUGGCGAAGGCGACUUACUGGACUUAAACUGACGCUCAGGCACGAAAGCGUGGGGAGCAAACAGG